rnacentral:rRNA from 1 species
CAGCCGCCGCGGUAAUACGUAGGUGGCAAGCGUUGUCCGGAAUUAUUGGGCGUAAAGGGCUCGCAGGCGGUUUCUUAAGUCUGAUGUGAGAGCCCCCGGCUCAACCGGGGAGGGUCAUUGGAAACUGGGAAACUUGAGUGCAGAAGAGGAGAGUGGAAUUCCACGUGUAGCGGUGAAAUGCGUAGAGAUGUGGAGGAACACCAGUGGCGAAGGCGACUCUCUGGUCUGUAACUGACGCUGAGGAGCGAAAGCGUGGGGAGCGAACAGGAUUAGAUACCCCAGUAGUCCCUGUCUCUUAUAC